rnacentral:lncRNA from 1 species
AGGAAAGCUUGUCUCUGCAGUCAGGCAAAGAUCAUGGGAUUAAUAAGAUGCAUUGUCCCCAGGAAAAUGUGUGCACUCAUGGAGAACCUCACUGACAUAGCUGCAGAGAGCUAAGCCUAGCCCACAAGAAUUCCUGGCGUGGACUCCAUCAGGACCUAGGAAGGGUCACAGAGUGCUCUGAUGUAUGCUGCCUGCAGUAUGAGCCGAGGAGCUUUUUGAAAGUCUGGGAGAAUUUGACCAGAGACACCUUUAACAGUACCAUCUCCAAAACCUCUCAUGCACAAGUGCAGCGAGACUUCCAGCAAAUCAGCUGAGGAUUUACAAGGAGAAUUAGGCUAACAGAAAAAGAAGAAACAUCUCAUAUUGGAGUUAACAGGCAAGUAGUGUG